GGAAGCUCUCCUAGUCUCUCACACGCACGAUGGCGGUGGGGCAAGGCCGUCUCCCGGCAGCAUCGUUUUCAUGACAGCAAAAAGGCUGGACCCACCCAUGUGGGACAAUCCACAGUGCAGCCCCACAGCCUCGCAAGGAGCGAGGACCCCCGUGCACCACCAUGGAGAGCCCACCGCCGACGUGGUCACUUGCCAGCACGUGCCUGGCCAUGUGUCUAUGGAAACGAGGAGGAGGAGAGGAGAAAAAAGACAAAGAAGCAUGCCCAAGAGCUGCCCAAGAAGGGCUGGCAUGGAAGCAGGACCAAUGGAGACCUCUGGAGAUAUGAACUGGGGGCUGAAGCCAUCAGGAGCCUUGAUCCAUGGACCCUUUGACAAAUAACCAGCAAGCUUCCUGGUGGCCUUAAGGUCAGAUGAGAUUCACAGUCAGCCACUCGACAGACAGUCCUACAGGGAGAAGGUGCCGCCGGUGGUGAGACACACCUGGGAUUCUCACUGACUCAGGACUAAGGAGUCCCCACGUGGGGAAAGCCUUCCGAUGGUCACUUUUCUGCAAAAGCAGUCACACCUCACAACACGCCUUUGCUCCAGCGACGGCGACCAUGGAACUCGUAGGCAUGUGGGGCCAUCAUGUUCGAUGGUGCUGACUUGUGGAAACAUUUCAAUCUCCAUCUUCCAGACAGAACCAAGAUGCUCAUUUCAGAGAAUGGAGCUAAUACAUUAAAUGCAGGUUGCUAGGUAAUUUUUCACUAGGUAAUUUUAAUUCUCAAAAAAACUUAAGUAUCAGCUGGGCAUGGUGGCUCAUGCCUGUAAUCCCAGCACUUUGGAAGGCCGAGGCGGGUGGGUCACCUGAGGUCAGGAGUUCAAGACCAGCCUGGCCAAGAGGGUGAAACUCCAUCUCUACUAAAAAUACAAAAAUACAAAAAUUAGCCGGGCAUGGUGGCAGGAGCCUGUAAUCCCAGCUACUUGCGAGGCUGAGGCAGGAGAAUCACUUGAACCCGGGAGGUAGAGGUUGCAGUGAGCCAAGAUCGUGACACUGCACUCUAGCCCGGGGAACAAGAGCAAGACUCCGUCUCAAAAAAAAAAACAACUUAGUAUCUAAAAGCACAACUAUGAAACGACCAGCUCAACGUCUGAAAAAUCACGAGCCAUCUGCAAAUUGCGUAACUGACAACGCAAGCACUCUCACACACAGGCCCUGUCUGCGCCCAGGGUGGCUCAACAGCAGAAAUAUCUGACCCCCAGUGGUCCCAUCUGUUAACAAAGGCUCCAAAAAUCUACUUCUUGUGUGCUAGGGGUUCUGUCAAGGACUUGGGAUGUCCUGAUCUGAUCCUCCAUCUCUGUCACGGCCUCUGUGUCACACAGUUCCCUGGGACCCCCAUCCUCCUCCGGGGGUGCUGCAGGGCACUGAGCUGGUGGGCACCGGAGGCCACCAGAGGAGCUCACAGUCCCACCACCCCCAACCCUAGCCCUCUGGGUGCAGGGCGGCUCCUGUCUCCUGUGUUACCCUCUUCCCAUGCAUGUCCCCUCCUGGUUCCCCUUCUUUCAGUCCCAGCCUGAAACCCACCAUGUAGCUGCUAAGCGUGCUCUCCAGACAAGGCCAGCUCCAUCCUUCCCCGCUGGCCCGCACGGAUUUUGAGGACUUGGCUUUCAGUGUCAGCUCCUAGUUCCAAUUUCGGGUAUACUUGGCCCUCAAGGAGCUCGGAGCUGCACCACAGGCCCUGUCUGACCUCAGGGUCUCCCCACAUUCUAAACAAGCUCCUUCCCCCAAGCAGACCCCCAUAUACCUCAACUAACCAGAAGCUACCACCUAGACCCACAGGUGAGCCAGGAGCCGGCAGUCAGCAAAUCACAGCAAAUCAAGCCGGUAACCAGAACUGCUUUUCUCCAAAGUGGGAGAGAAAGCAACUUAGAGGCGUUCAGGCCAGGACUCAUCCUAGACAAGGUCUUACAGCUUGCUCAAUUAGAAUCCUCUGGCAACAAACACCGAGGUGCAAAUAACCAGUCCAUCCACCCCUCCCUCCCGCUCUCCAUCUCACAGACACUCCCUCACUCCACUUACCAGAGCAGCAAGACACCCAAACAUCUCCCUAGAAUUCUCAUUAAAUUUUCACCAAAAAAACGCCACCCAGCCAGGUGUGGUGGCUCACACCUGUAAUCCUAUCCCUUUGGGAGGCUGAGGCGGGAGGAUCACUUGAGGCCAGGAGUUUGAGACCAGCCUGGCCAACAUGGAGAAACCCUGUCUCUACUAAAAAUAAAAGAAUUAGCUGGGCAUGGUGGUAUGCACCUGAAAUUCCAGCUACUCCGGAAGCUGAGGCAUAAGAAUCACUUGAACCCAGGAGGUGGAGGUUGCAGUGAGCUGGGAUUGUGCCACUGCACUCCAGCCUGGGCGACACAGCAAGACUCUGUCUCAAAAACAAAACAAAACAAAAGGCCGCCAAUGCCAAAACCUAAUGGACUAAAAAAAUGCCACCUUGUACAGUGCUCUAAAGGCAAGUUCUACAAGCAGAUAAUGGUAAAAACAAAACAAAACAAAACCAACGUGUCACCUAAACUUGCCCCCAGAAGGGUAACUUGCAAAUCAAACUGUACUUGUUUUUGUCCUAAUUAAAACCAUGCCAGAGGCCGGGCGUGGUAGCUCAUGCCUGUAAUCCCAGCACUUUGGGAGGCCGAAGCGGGCAGAUCACGAGGUCAGGAGAUCGAGACCAUCCUGGCUAACACGGUGAAACCCCGUCUCUACUAAAAAUACAAAAAAUUAGCCGGGCGUGGUGGCGGGUGCCUGUGGUCCCAGCUACUCGGGAGGCUGAGGCGGGAGAAUGGUGUGAACCCAGGAGGCGGAGCUUGCAGUGAGCCGGGAUCGCGCCACUGCACUCCAGCCUGGGCGACAGAGCGAGACUCCGUCUCAAAAAAUAAAUAAAUAAAUAGAUAGAUAGAUAAAUGAAACCAGGCCAGAAAAUCACCUGAAACUUGAGCAAGAGAGAGAGAAGGAGAGGUAACUACCACCCAAAGAAGUUCCUCUGGAUCUAAAGAAGAUUCCAACUCACCACAUCAUCUCAUCCCCAUACGCCUUUGGGGGCUUCAUAGCAUUUUCUCCUUGGGGGAACCUAACCUCCUAAACAUCCAACUUAAACAAACCCUCUUUAAAACAGCCUUGCUUAGCAGUAUGCCUCCUGCCAGGAGGGACACAGGGCACUGAGCAGGAGCUGGUCUGUGUGCCACCUCCAGGGCCUACACCUGGCACCUGCAAGUCUCCAGCAGCCAAGGAAACCUCUCGCUCCUGCUGAGCCACUUUGCAGCUCUCCAAAGGACCCAAAGGUCUGGCCGCCGAUUCCCAGGGGAGGGCAGGACUUAUCGAAAGCAGGCGUGGAGACCUGGUUUAACCAGUCCAGCAGGUUGACAGAUGGAUGGACGCUGAGAAGG
rnacentral:lncRNA from 1 species